rnacentral:rRNA from 1 species
AACGAACGCUGGCGGCAUGCUUAACACAUGCAAGUUGAACGCAGGAUAGGACUUCGGUUCUAUUGCUGAGUAGCAAACGGGUGAGUAACGCGUGGGAAUCUACCUUCUUGUGGGGGAUAACUGAGGGAAACUUCAGCUAAUACCGCAUAAGCUCUACGGAGGAAAGGCUUCGGCCGCAAGAAGAGGAGCCCGCGUCAGAUUAGGUAGUUGGUAGGGUAAAAGCCUACCAAGCCAAUGAUCUGUAGCUGGUCUGAGAGGAUGAUCAGCCACACUGGGACUGAGACACGGCCCAGACUCCUACGGGAGGCAGCAGUGGGGAAUAUUGGACAAUGGGGGAAACCCUGAUCCAGCAAUGCCGCGUGAAUGAAGAAGGCCUUAGGGUUGUAAAGUUCUUUCACCUGUGAAGAUAAUGACGGUAGCAGGAGAAGAAGCCCCGGCUAACUCCGUG